AGCGAACGCUGGCGGCAGGCCUAACACAUGCAAGUCGAACGAAGUCUUCGGACUUAGUGGCGGACGGGUGAGUAACACGUGGGAACGUGCCUUUAGGUUCGGAAUAACUCAGGGAAACUUGUGCUAAUACCGAAUGUGCCCUUCGGGGAAAGAUUUAUCGCCUUUAGAGCGGCCCGCGUCUGAUUAGCUAGUUGGUGGGGUAAUGGCCCACCAAGGCUACGAUCAGUAGCUGGUCUGAGAGGAUGACCAGCCACCAUUGGGACUGAGACACGGCCCAAACUCCUACGGGAGGCAGCAGUGGGGAAUCUUGCGCAAUGGGCGAAAGCCUGACGCAGCCAUGCCGCGUGGAUGAUGAAGGUCUUAGGAUUGUAAAAUCCUUUCACCGGUGAAGAUAAUGACUGUAGCCGGAGAAGAAGCCCCGGCUAACUUCGUGCCAGCCGCCGCAGUAAUAC
rnacentral:rRNA from 1 species